CUGUGGGGAUCUGGCACUGUGGUUCCUGCAUGAAAACAGUGGCUGGUGGUGCCUGGACCUACAACGCACUUCUGCUGUCACAGUCAAGUCUGC
rnacentral:miRNA from 1 species